rnacentral:rRNA from 1 species
AGAGUUUGAUCAUGGCUCAGAACGAACGCUGGCGGCGUGGAUAAGACAUGCAAGUCGAACGCUGACAUUCAGGUAGCAAUAUUUGGAUGUCGGAGUGGCGCAAGGGUGCGUAACACGUGGGUAAUUUGCCGUAAAGUCUGGGAUAACUUGCUGAAAGGCGAGCUAAUACCGGAUGUGAAUUCUUGAAGGCAUCUUUAGGAAUUCAAAGUUGGGGACCGCAAGGCCUGACGCUUUACGAUAAGCCCGCGGCCUAUCAGCUAGUUGGUGAGGUAACGGCUCACCAAGGCUAAGACGGGUAGCUGGUCUGAGAGGACGACCAGCCUCACUGGAACUGAGACACGGUCCAGACACCUACGGGUGGCAGCAGUCGAGAAUUUUUCUCAAUGGGCGAAAGCCUGAAGGAGCGACGCCGCGUGGGGGAUGAAUGGCUUCGGCCCGUAAACCCCUGUCAUUUGUGAACAAAUUGCUUCACCUAACACGUGAAGCAUUGAUUGUAACGGAAGAGGAAGGGACGGCUAACUCUGUGCCAGCAGCCGCGGUAAUACAGAGGUCCCAAGCGUUGUUCGGAUUCACUGGGCGUAAAGGGUGCGUAGGCGGUUUGAUAAGUCUGAUGUGAAAUCCCGCAGCUUAACUGCGGAACUGCAUUGGAAACUAUUUGACUAGAGGAAUGGAGGGGAGACUGGAAUACUUGGUGUAGCAGUGAAAUGCGUAGAUAUCAAGUGGAACACCAGUGGCGAAGGCGAGUCUCUGGACAUUUCCUGACGCUGAGGCACGAAAGCCAGGGGAGCAAACGGGAUUAGAUACCCCCGUAGUCC